AGAGGGUGCGAGCGUUAAUCGGAAUUACUGGGCGUAAAGCGUGCGUAGACGGCUAUCUAAGUCGGGUGUGAAAGCCCCGGGCUCAACCUGGGAAUUGCAUUCGAGACUGAAUAGCUAGGGUGCGGUAGAGGGAAGCGGAAUUUCCGGUGUAGCGGUGAAAUGCGUAGAUAUCGGAAGGAACAUCAGUGGCGAAAGCGGCUUCCUGGACCAGCACCGACGUUCAGGCACGAAAGCGUGGGGAGCAAACAGGAUUAGAUACCCUGGUAGUCCACGCCAUAAACGAUGAGGACUAGACGUUGGAGGGGUAAGCCUUUCAGUGUCGUAGCUAACGCGCUAAGUCCUCCGCCUGGGGAGUACGGCCGCAAGGUUG
rnacentral:rRNA from 1 species